UACGGGGGGAGCAAGCGUUGUUCGGAUUUACUGGGCGUAAAGGGCGCGUAGGCGGUCAGCACAAGUCAGUUGUGAAAUCUCCGGGCUUAACUCGGAAAGGUCAACUGAUACUGUGCGACUAGAGUGCAGAAGGGGCAACUGGAAUUCUCGGUGUAGCGGUGAAAUGCGUAGAUAUCUGGAGGAAUACCGGUGGCGAAGGCGGCAUCCUGGACCGACAUUGACGCUGAUGAGCGAAAGCCAGGGGAGCAAACGGG
rnacentral:rRNA from 1 species